GAUGAACGCUGGCGGCGUGCCUAAUACAUGCAAGUCGAGCGAAUGGAUUAAGAGCUUGCUCUUAUGAAGUUAGCGGCGGACGGGUGAGUAACACGUGGGUAACCUGCCCAUAAGACUGGGAUAACUCCGGGAAACCGGGGCUAAUACCGGAUAACAUUUUGAACCGCAUGGUUCGAAAUUGAAAGGCGGCUUCGGCUGUCACUUAUGGAUGGACCCGCGUCGCAUUAGCUAGUUGGUGAGGUAACGGCUCACCAAGGCAACGAUGCGUAGCCGACCUGAGAGGGUGAUCGGCCACACUGGGACUGAGACACGGCCCAGACGCCUACGGGAGGCAGCAGUAGGGAAUCUUCCGCAAUGGACGAAAGUCUGACGGAGCAACGCCGCGUGAGUGAUGAAGGCUUUCGGGUCGUAAAACUCUGUUGUUAAGGAAGAACAAGUGCUAGUUGAAUAAGCUGGCACCUUGACGGUACCUAACCAGAAGCCACGGCUAACUACGUGCCAGCCGCCGCGGUAA
rnacentral:rRNA from 1 species